GAUUACAGGCGUAAGCCAUCGUGCCCGGCCUCUCAGGUAUUUUUUUUAUAGCAACACAAGAACAGACUAACAUAGAACUCGAAUGAAUGAAUUCUGUCCUCAACUGCAGUAACUGUAAGGAGGUAUUAUUACAUUUUCUCUCCCCAAGUGAGAAAGACUAAUCCUUUAAAACUACCGUAAGUUCUCAUUGUAUGAGACUCAAGUUGAGCUUUCAUGAAGGCUCUCAAAUAGAGUUGGUGUUUUUAUGGUAUUGUUCACAUGUUCUUAAUUUUGUUUUUUCCUCAACUUUUAAAUGUUCAGAAAAGUUUUUUAAACAUGGACUUUUGAUAAGAAAAUUUAAGAUGAUCAUGAACUGCAUGACAUUUUAUCAUCAUCAAGCUAUAGAAUGCUUCUAUUUUGUUUCAUUUACUUUGGUUUUACUUUUUUCUCUAUUAUCUUCUGUCUCUAAUCUCACAGCCCCCUCCAACCAUAGUCAGCUUUUACAAUAUAUAUGAAAUAUAUACUAUUUAUAAUAUAUAUGUUCAUCCAUUCUACCUUUUACACACACACACACACACACACACACACACACACACACACAGAAGAUGUGAAAAAUUUUGGCAUUCACUGUGCUUAAUUUACAUAGAUGAUACUGUGGUAUAAGUAUCUUUCUAACUUUUCUUAUUCAACACUGUUUUUAAAGAUCUACUCAUGAUGCUACAUAUAAGCAUAAGUGAUUGCUUUUUACAUUCCAUUACACGCCAUGCUAUUCAUACAUUGGUAAGUCUACUAACAGUAACAGCUCUACCAUGAACAUGAACCCAUCUUAUCCUUGAGCACCUGAGUGAUUCGUGGAGGGUAUAUUCAGCAGUAGAAUUGUUGGAUUGUUGGGUAUAUCCAUACUAAAUGUCAGCAAACUCAGUGAGAUUAUUUUCCCAAAUAGCUCUAUUAGAUUAUAUCCUCACCAGCAAGGUAUCAGGGAUUCCAUUUCUAUAUAUCUUCACCAGCAUUUGAUGUUAUGCAACUUUUUAGUUUUUGUCGAUCUGAUGAUUAUAGACUGACACUUUAUCAAUGAUUUAAUUAGUAUUUUCCUAAUUUUGAAAGAGUUUGGGCAUCUUUUAAUAUUUACUACCCAUUUAGGUUUCUCUUUCUGUGAAUUGCCUAUUCAGAGAUAUUGCUUAUUUCUUUAGGUUUUCUUUCUUUUUCUCUUUUCUUUUCUUUUUAAAAAUGUGCCAUAUGGACAGUCUUUUUUAAAUGCCUUUAACAUUUGGAAAACUUUGGACUUUCCUAAGAGCUAUACAAAUGUCAUGGGUAAACUUUUUGCGUUGACUUUGACUUUCAAGAAACCUACAGCCAUAUCUCACAUGUAAUCACAGCUGUAUUUUCCCUUUCAGCAAGUGUAUUCGCAUUCUUGUACUUUCUUGGAACCUAAUUUUUGCAUUCAAUGUUAUUAUUAACUUUAUUUUUAUGUCUCUUGUCAUAACCUAACUCAAAAGAUGUUUUGAAGGAGUCAGGCAUAAGUGAAUCAAUAAGCUUAUUUUUUUUCAAAAUGUUCCAGUUUAAUUUAAAUUGGUCUUCUAGCUAGAACAAAAUGUGUUCCCACUCACCUUAAAGUGACAAUAGGCUUCUGAAUUCCAUGGCUGUAGGUGUCAUCUAGUUCAACAACACAUUUUCAAAUAGGAGAUGGAAGACCACAGAAGUCACCUGAAGCUGUUUAGGAGACACAGGCUGGAGCAAAACUGGAAUGGCCUGGCAUUAAAUCUGGUUUUUCUUUUCUUUUUAUUUAUUAAUGUAAUUAAAACAAUUUUUGGUUUCUAUUUUGCUUAGUAGAAAAGGUUUAUAUAUGGAUCACAUGUCUGUGUGUGUAUCUCUGUGUGAAAGUGUCUGUUUUUUGUAAUGCUUAUGUAUUUUUCUUCCCCUCUCUCAUUGGCAUUUAUCUUGAUGUAAUUGAUGUGAGGUUUCUGGUCUUCAUAAAUUUCCUAUUAUUUCUGAAGCUUUGAAAAAUUAUUAAAUCUAAUUUAGAAGUGUAAAAUUCCAACUCAAACUUUGGAAGUCAAGUUAAAACUCCUCUGUUUGGUAAUCUCUGAGAUGCUAUAUACAAAUAUCAUCCUACUUACUAAUUGUUCAGCUCUUUUCUUAAAUCAUACAUGAAUGACUUGUCAAAGAUAAAGUACUGGCAUCAGAAAGAUUCUCAAUAUCAGGACUUGAAGGUCAUGUUACACCUCAGUCUGGAGCUUCUGAGAAUGGACCCCUGAUCUCCUAUCCUUGUAGAAUCCACACUUUCCUGGUGAGGCCUAAACCACAGCUGGGAAGAACCCUAUGUUCCUGACCUGGAUCAAGGGAAUGCUACCCCCACAAUGGUGAUACUAAUGCUUUUUCAUGGAAACUGGCUUUCAAGUUGAACAAGACCGGCAAAGGGGACAUGGCAAAUCCUCCUCUUACCACUUAUGCUUAGAGUGACAUGUCUGUUCACGUUCACAAGUUGGUGUUAAAGCAACUCACAUGGCCAUAUCUGUCUAGAAGGGGUCAGGGGAGUGCAACUCUUUUAUGUACCCAGAAAGGGGGAGAAAUAUUUGGUAAAGACUACUAAUGACUACCACUGUCUGCAACCCUCACUUUUUCUGACUAUGAUUAUAAUGAUACCCUUUGCCUUUACAGAGUAUAGCUGUGCCUAAUCAAAGGGCACACCAGCCAGAUCUAGAGAUGGGAGUGACUUCUAAGGAGCAUGGACUUCACCUGGGAAGGUGAUGGGCUUGCUGGGGAGCUGUGGAGUUUGAGAGCCAAAUGGUUGACUCAUGAAACAGUAAUCCAGGAGUGAAACAGAAACCAAGCAGGUGACUCGGAUACUGGGGAAAUCAGACAAAACAAGAACCCACCUACCUGCCCUCUGUCUUCCUGACUCCCACAAGUACUUUUUGUGCACUUAUGAAGUGGCAAGUACUAUUUUAGGUUCUAGGGAUUUAGCAGUGGAAAGACAAGUGGAGGAACUAAAACAAUUAAAAAAGUGUCUGAGGACUUGAGUGUACCCAGGGGGAGAGACCCUGUCAAAGGUCAUGUGUGUGCACUCUACGCUGAGUAUUUCAUACCCAUGGCUCAUUUGAAACAUGCAAGAACUCAAAGAGGAAGUGAAUCUACGUGUCAAGACAGUCCCCGCUCUUUUCAGGCUUAUGGUAUUAACAGCAUCAUAUCAUAAAAUGUUGUCAGGUCCUUGGGGCAGCAAUAAUGCUUUCACUUAUAAAAUGUGACUACAGUUCUUAA